AGCUUUGUGCAGUGCAGUAUCAUAGCCAAAGAGGUUUAUCCAAGGCUUGGUUAUGGCUAAUUGAAAUCUUUUCCCAACAGCCAUUGUUAUGAGAAUAAAAAGAAAACAACAGUCUGGAAAAAAUAUUUGAGCAUCAUAUAUCUGC